rnacentral:rRNA from 1 species
CCUACGGGAGGCAGCAGUGGGGAAUAUUGGACAAUGGGCGCAAGCCUGAUCCAGCAAUGCCGCGUGAGUGAUGAAGGCCUUAGGGUCGUAAAGCUCUUUUACCAGGGAUGAUAAUGACAGUACCUGGAGAAUAAGCUCCGGCUAACUCCGUGCCAGCAGCCGCGGUAAUACGGAGGGAGCUAGCGUUGUUCGGAAUUACUGGGCGUAAAGCGUACGUAGGCGGUUAUUCAAGUCAGAGGUGAAAGCCCGGGGCUCAACCCCGGAACGGCCUUUGAAACUAGGUAGCUAGAAUCUUGGAGAGGUCAGUGGAAUUCCGAGUGUAGAGGUGAAAUUCGUAGAUAUUCGGAAGAACACCAGUGGCGAAGGCGACUGACUGGACAAGUAUUGACGCUGAGGUACGAAAGCGUGGGGAGCAAACAGGAUUAGAUACCCUGGUAGUCCACGCCGUAAACGAUGAUAACUAGCUGUUCGGGCACUUGGUGCUUGAGUGGCGCNGCUACGCAUUAAGUUAUCCGCCGUCGGGAGGUACGGUCGCAGAUUAAACUACAAAUAGAAGUUAGACGGCGUGAGACGUGCCGACGGACGACGACGAGGGAGGUAGG